AUGAUCUUAAUUUGGGCCAAAUUUUGUGUUGAAAUGAGGAUUUCCAAAUGGUUUGGAUUUACAUAUGUUGCUGCACUUGCACCAGCCGCGGUUCACAAGCCUCAAACAAACAAACACACACACACACACACACACACACACACACACACACACACACACACACAGGCAAAAGGAAGCCAGGAGAAGGACGCGUCCAGUGGGCGACCAAGAUGGCCGGAGCCUCAGCAAAUGAACUUUGAUAGGUGCUACUACUUCACUGCUUCUCCGUCUCAGGCGAGAGAUAGACCGGAGAGACCAGAUCGGCGAUUCUUCGGAUCCCGUUGA
rnacentral:rRNA from 1 species